rnacentral:snRNA from 1 species
GUGCUUUUUUCGGUAGCACAUACACUAGAGUCGGAAUGAUGCACAGAAGAUUGGCAUGGUCCCUGUGCAACGAUGGCGUGCAAGUUUGUGAGGCAUUCCGUAUUUUU